UGGGGAAUAUUGCACAAUGGGCGCAAGCCUGAUGCAGCCAUGCCGCGUGUGUGAAGAAGGCCUUCGGGUUGUAAAGCACUUUCAGCGAGGAGGAAGGGUAGUGUGUUAAUAGCACAUUGCAUUGACGUUACUCGCAGAAGAAGCACCGGCUAACUCCGUGCCAGCAGCCGCGGUAAUACGGAGGGUGCAAGCGUUAAUCGGAAUUACUGGGCGUAAAGCGCACGCAGGCGGUCUGUUAAGUCAGAUGUGAAAUCCCCGCGCUUAACGUGGGAACUGCAUUUGAAGCUGGCAAGCUAGAGUCUUGUAGAGGGGGGUAGAAUUCCAGGUGUAGCGGUGAAAUGCGUAGAGAUCUGGAGGAAUACCGGUGGCGAAGGCGGCCCCCUGGACAAAGACUGACGCUCAGGUGCGAAAGCGUGGGGAGCAAACA
rnacentral:rRNA from 1 species